rnacentral:rRNA from 1 species
UUCCAGAGGAAGGCUCGUCCGCUCUGGGUUAGUCGGGUCCUAAGCUGAGGCCGACAGGCGUAGGCGAUGGAUAACAGGUUGAUAUUCCUGUACCACCUAUAAUCGUUUUAAUCGAUGGGGGGACGCAGUAGGAUAGGCGAAGCGUGCGAUUGGAUUGCACGUCUAAGCAGUAAGGCUGAGUAUUAGGCAAAUCCGGUACUCGUUAAGGCUGAGCUGUGAUGGGGAGAAGACAUUGUGUCUUCGAGUCGUUGAUUUCACACUGCCGAGAAAAGCCUCUAGAUAGAAAAUAGGUGCCCGUACCGCAAACCGACACAGGUAGUCAAGAUGAGAAUUCUAAGGUGAGCGAGCGAACUCUCGUUAAGGAACUCGGCAAAAUGACCCCGUAACUUCGGGAGAAGGGGUGCUCUUUAGGGUUAACGCCCAGAAGAGCCGCAGUGAAUAGGCCCAAGCGACUGUUUAUCAAAAACACAGGUCUCUGCUAAACCGUAAGGUGAUGUAUAGGGGCUGACGCCUGCCCGGUGCUGGAAGGUUAAGAGGAGUGGUUAGCUUCUGCGAAGCUACGAAUCGAAGCCCCAGUAAACGGCGGCCGUAACUAUAACGGUCCUAAGGUAGCGAAAUUCCUUGUCGGGUAAGUUCCGACCCGCACGAAAGGCGUAACGAUUUGGGCACUGUCUCAACGAGAGACUCGGUGAAAUCAUAGUACCUGUGAAGAUGCAGGUUACCCGCGACAGGACGGAAAGACCCCGUGGAGCUUUACUGUAGCCUGAUAUUGAAAUUCGGCACAGCUUGUACAGGAUAGGUAGGAGCCUUUGAAACGUGAGCGCUAGCUUACGUGGAGGCGCUGGUGGGAUACUACCCUAGCUGUGUUGGCUUUCUAACCCGCACCACUUAUCGUGGUGGGAGACAGUGUCAGGCGGGCAGUUUGACUGGGGCGGUCGCCUCCUAAAAGGUAACGGAGGCGCUCAAAGGUUCCCUCAGAAUGGUUGGAAAUCAUUCAUAGAGUGUAAAGGCAUAAGGGAGCUUGACUGCGAGACCUACAAGUCGAGCAGGGUCGAAAGACGGACUUAGUGAUCCGGUGGUUCCGCAUGGAAGGGCCAUCGCUCAACGGAUAAAAGCUACCCCGGGGAUAACAGGCUUAUCUCCCCCAAGAGUUCACAUCGACGGGGAGGUUUGGCACCUCGAUGUCGGCUCAUCGCAUCCUGGGGCUGUAGUCGGUCCCAAGGGUUGGGCUGUUCGCCCAUUAAAGCGGUACGCGAGCUGGGUUCAGAACGUCGUGAGACAGUUCGGUCCCUAUCCGUCGUGGGCGUAGGAAAUUUGAGAGGAGCUGUCCUUAGUACGAGAGGACCGGGAUGGACAUACCUCUGGUGUACCAGUUGUCGUGCCAACGGCAUAGCUGGGUAGCUAUGUGUGGACGGGAUAAGUGCUGAAAGCAUCUAAGCAUGAAGCCCCCCUCAAGAUGAGAUUUCCCAACUUCGGUUAUAAGAUCCCUCAAAGAUGAUGAGGUUAAUAGGUUCGAGGUGGAAGCAUGGUGACAUGUGGAGCUGACGAAUACUAAUCGAUCGAAGACUUAAUCAA